ACUUGGUCCGAGGCUAGAGUCACGCUCUGGUAUUGCUUGUUGCCUUAGUGUGCUAGAGUCCUCGAAGAAUAACUGCUGACCUUAUUCACUGGCU
rnacentral:miRNA from 1 species